UUCACAAAGCAAACCAUCAGAUCGUUUUGAUUUAUAACUUCUGAAGAUUAAAAACUGUAUUACAGGAUCAGUAGCAUUGGAGGAAAAAAGAAAAACUAUUGCAGUUUAUUUUUCUAUAUAAUUAUACAUAAGCAUGAACUUGUUCUCAAACUUCAUAUUGCUCAAGCUGGACGUCCUUAGCCUUCAAAGGAACAUACUCUCCAAGCAGAUAAACUUCAAGGUGAUCUGAUAGGGCUGAUUUGUCGAUGUUUUCAUGGUGAUAUGAUUUGCAGACGAAGUAAAUCACUGUUUGGAUUACAAGUAAAAACAGGAACAACUUAAGAAGCAACAAGAAACAAAUUAUCCCAUAUGAUACCCUAUUCACCAUGCCUAAGGAUCUUCCAUGGACCACCAGCUUCUCAAAUGCUACCUGAAUUACGAAUAGAGACACAUUCAGCUUGAAGAAUAUGAUGGUUGUUACCCACAUCUUACCUUUUAUCAGAGCCCUGCUCUUCACCAUGGCCUUAACUCCACAAGCCUCCUCUAACACGGACACAACACUAGACAGCUGCCAAAUUAUACUCAUGUACACAAUACCCACGAAAUACAAAAUCAAUAAACCAAUGAAAGUCAACACCCCAAUACUUGUUUCUGAAAUAAAAAAAGCCCAUGCGAUAAAGAGCAGGACAGCAACUAUGUUGUAGGCAAAAAGAGCAGCAAAAAUACACAAAAAUGUGACCAUGAGCCUCUUCCAAACCUUAGGGACUACGCUCAUAACCUUGGCGAAAGUGACUUCUCUCCCUGUAUAAAUGCAAGCAAUGGUGUAAACAACUGCUGCGGUUGAUAGAAGGGAGAAGAUAAGAAAGAUAGUGAAGUAUGCAAUCUUGAAGAGCCAGAAAUAGGUCCAUUCGGAGGAGAGGAGAUUGUUUAGUUUCUUGUUUCUUGGAGAGCCAGCGCUUGUAUGAUCUAACUGUAUUUCGUCAUCGAUGAUAUUGGAGAAGAUGAGUUCGGAUAUCUGGAUGUGAGCUAGGAAGAUGAAAGAUAGAGGAAGAAUCAGGCUAAGAGUUAUCUGGCUGAAGAUCCUCCUCCAUGUGAAGAUGAUCUUGUAGGAUUCUUUGUAGAUGUCGAAAAUUCCAAGAAACUGCAUCUCUUCUUGUUCUCUAUCCAUGGCUAGAUGGUCAGUUUCUUGAAUGAUUUUCUUGGGAAAGGAGGAGGGUUGGGGGAGAAGGAAGAAUUGAACAGAUAAGAGGAUAGAAAAUGGUUAAGGACGAUGGACAAGAAGAUUGGAC
rnacentral:misc_RNA from 1 species